AUUGAACGCUGGCGGCAUGCUUUACACAUGCAAGUCGAACGGUAACAGGGUGCUUGCACCGCUGACGAGUGGCGAACGGGUGAGUAAUGCGUCGGAACGUGCCGAGUAGUGGGGGAUAACGCAGCGAAAGUUAUGCUAAUACCGCAUACGUACUGAGGUAGAAAGUGGGGGACCUUUGGGCCUCACGCUAUUCGAGCGGCCGACGUCGGAUUAGCUAGUAGGUGAGGUAAAGGCUCACCUAGGCGACGAUCAGUAGCGGGUCUGAGAGGAUGAUCCGCCACACUGGGACUGAGACACGGCCCAGACUCCUACGGGAGGCAGCAGUGGGGAAUUUUGGACAAUGGGCGAAAGCCUGAUCCAGCCAUGCCGCGUGUCUGAAGAAGGCCUUCGGGUUGUAAAGGACUUUUGUCAGGGAGGAAAUCCCUAGUGCUAAUACCGCUGGGGGAUGACAGUACCUGAAGAAUAAGCACCGGCUAACUACGUGCCAGCCGCCGCGGUAAAAC
rnacentral:rRNA from 1 species